UUGCAGUCUGCAACUCACUGCAUGAAGCCGGAAUCGCUAGUAAUCGCGGAUCAGAAUGCCGCGGUGAAUACGUUCCCGGGUCUUGUACACACCGCCCGUCACACCAUGGGAGUCGGAAAUGCCCGAAGCCGGUGGCCUAACCGAUAAGGGAGGAGCCGUCGAAGGCAGGUCUGAUGACUGGGGUGAAGUCGUAACAAGGUACC
rnacentral:rRNA from 1 species